ensembl:lncRNA
AUGACGUGGAUUGACUACAAAAAAGUCUUUGACUCACUCCCACACAGCUGGAUCAUCAAGUGCCUGGACGCCAUUGGGAUUAGUAAAAACGUUGGCACCUUCAUUGAAAACAUGAUGGAGCACUGGAAAACUGAACUGUUUGUUGGAAAUGAAAGCUAUGGACUUGUCAACAUCAGAAGAGGAACUUUCCAAGGAGAUUCAUUGUCCACUCUGCUUUUCAUUAUUGCCAUGAUCCCUCUGUCAACAAUCUUACAAAAAACAAAUCUCGGCUACCAAACAUCUAAGAAUUCUCACAAAAUUUCACAUUUGAUGUACAUGGAUGACCUGAAGCUGUAUGGGAAAACGCAAACUGAAAUCCAGUCUCUGACCAACACUGUCCGAAUUUUUAGCACUGAUAUCAACAUGGAGUUUGGUUUGGACAAAUGUUCAACAGUGGCAUUGAAGAAGGGAAAAAUCAUUGAAAAUGAUGGCAUAAAUAUGCCCAAUGGCCAAACAAUAAAGUGUCACCAGCCAGAGGCCUAUAAAUAUCUGGGCAUAUUACAGCUGGACAACAUCAAGCAUGAACAUGUGAAAACUGUGGUCAGCAAAGAAUACACACAAAGGGUCAGAAAAAUUCUCAAAAGCAAGCUCAAUGGAGGCAACACCAUCAAGACCAUAAACACCUGGGCCAUACCUGUCAUAAGAUAUACUGCUGGCAUUAUAAAUUGGACACAGGCGGAACUGGACAAUUUGGACAGAAAAACAAGAAAACUCAUGACCAUUCAUCAUUCACUGCACCCUCGCAGUGAUGUUGACCGGCUCUAUCUGCCUAGAAGAUCAGGGGGCAGAGGACUCUUACAAGUAAAACAAGCAGUCAAAGAAGAAGAACAUGCCCUGGCAGAAUAUGUAAAGCAAAGUGAAGAACCUGCUUUGAUUGAAGUCAAAAAUCAGAAACUCCUCAAAACACAACAGACAAAAAACCAGUACAAGAAAACUGCACUACAAACUAGAGCUGACAGCUGGCACAACAAAACACUGCAUGGAAAGUUCCUUGACAAAAUUGAAGGAAAAGCUGAUAAGGAGAAGACCUGGCUCUGGCUCACAAAUGGGACCCUGAAGAAGGAGACAGAAGGCCUGAUCCUUGCAGCCCAGGAGCAAGCCAUCAGAACAAAUGCAAUUAAGGCCAAAAUCGAAAAAUCAGCUGAUGACCCAAAAUGCAGACUGUGCAAGGAAGCUGACGAAACCAUUGAUCAUCUCCUCAGCUGCUGUAAGAAAAUUGCACAGACAGACUACAAACAGAGGCACAACUGUGCGGCCCAAAUGAUCCAUUGGAACUUAUGCCUCAAGUACCACCUGCCAGCAGCAAAGAAGUGGUGGGAUCACAAACCAGCAAAGGUCGUGGAAAAUGAACACGCAAAGAUACUGUGGGACUUCCGAAUCCAGACUGACAAAGUUCUGGAACACAACACACCAGACAUCACAGUUGUGGAAAAGAACAAGGUUUGGAUCAUUGAUGUUGCCAUCCCAGGUGACAGUCGCAUUGAUGAAAAACAACAGGAAAAACUCAGCCGCUAUCAGGACCUCAAGAUUGAACUUCAAAGACUCUGGCAGAAACCAGGGCAGGUG